GGGAUAAUAGUUCCAAUACUAGAAUGUUGGUCUCCAAAACCAUAGGUUAUGGGUUCAAAUCCCCCUUCUCACA
rnacentral:tRNA from 1 species